AAAAUGUGUGUAAGGUCUGGAGAGUGGCAACAUUAGCCCCAUUGAAGUGUUAGUGUUCUUGGAUGUGAGGGUUAGCAGCCCAAUAACAAUGCAACUAGGAUGGUUGGAAGAAGGGUGGUUGUGUGUGGAGGACAGAAAGUUCAGCCUAUAGCAAUUCAUUACUUGGUGCAACUGCCCAACCAGCAGGAAGAGCAAGAUCUUGUGGAACAUUGUGCCUUUUGCUGUUUGUUGGGAGAUUUGGAAAUAGAUGAACAACAGAAUUUUCAAGGACAUCCAUAUUUCUACAAAGAUGCUGUUAGAGAAAAUUAAAGGGUUGAUCAUUGAAUUGAAUGUCGUUAUCUUCAAAAUUCUGUGGGAUGUCAAUGUCAGAGAUUGGGAAUGAGUGGUCCAGUCUUGUGUCACAGUCUUCGGGUCUAUUGUCUGUAACAUUUCGUUUAAUCUGGCAUUUUUUCUGUAUUCCAUGUUGUAUACUUGUAUUGGGCCUUUGAUGUUUCCUGCUUUGUAUUUUUGGUUUUUCCGUUAGUAAUGUAAUUUAAGCUAAAGAACAACAUGUUCAUAGGAUGAGUGUUGCUGAAAAUUGAAAUGAGGAUGUUGGGAUGGAUGAGUGGCAAGAUUAGGAUGGAAUUAGACAUGAAUGCUUUCAAGGGAAUGUAGUAGUAGUACCAAUAGGUGAUUAGAUGAGGGAAAGCAAACUUCGAUGGUUUGGUCAUGUGCAAUGGAGAUGAAGAACCGCAGUGGUUAGGAGUGAGUUGGUACAAGUUGAAGGCUCUAAAAGGGCAAGGGGAAAGCCCAGAAGCACGUGGAUGUAGUAAGAAAAGACAUGAUGACCUAUGGUCUAACUGAAGGUUUGACCCUUGAUAGAGUGGAAUGAUGGAACAAGAUUCAUGUAGCUGGCCACAAUUAAUUGGGAUAAGGCUUAGAUGAUGAUGAAGAUGCAAAAAAAAGAAAGAAAGAAAAGUCAAAGCAGGUUCCGCCUCUUCGAAAAUGUGCAAGAAGGCUUCAAAAUCGGUGCUGCUAGAUCCAGAAAGUAGCAACCCAAUAAUUAUGUAGCCACAGUGGCCUGGUGAGAGGCAACCCUGUCAGUAUGAAAGAAACCAUCCUGGGCUGUUGGAUAAACCUGUCAGUGCAAAAGACUGUAGCCUGGGUGGUUGGAUGAACCCCAUUGCAAAAAGCCCAGACCUGGAUUGUUGAGAACCUCUAAUGCGAAAGAGCCCCCAAACAUUGGCCAUGGAGCUGGAUUUCGUGUGUCUCAAACAAGAAUAUCAGAACAAUGAAAUGAUCUAACCUCUCUCAAGAAAAGAAGAGAAGAAGGAGGGUUCGAUUCCCCUUCUCAACGAGGUUUGGGCGAAUGGUCUUCACCGUAGGUUUGCUCCCUACAGGUGAGGGUUCGAUUCCCCUCAUUGGCUUUACUUGAUACACGUGGUUGUGGGUGAUUGCGUGUAUCCGCAUGGAUUAGUCUCACUUCAAAAAGAGGUGGGGACACCUUGUGUCUUCAAAAAAAAAAAAAAGAAAAAGAAAAAGAAAAA